GACGAACCGUGCGAACGUUGUUCGGAAUCACUGGGCUUAAAGGGCGCGUAGGCGGGCGGUCAAGUCAGAGGUGAAAUCCCACGGCUCAACCGUGGAAGUGCCCCUGAUACUGACUGUCUCGAGGGAGGUAGGGGCGUGCGGAACUUCCGGUGGAGCGGUGAAAUGCGUAGAUAUCGGAAGGAACACCGAUGGCGAAAGCAGCGCGCUGGACCUCUACUGACGCUGAGGCGCGAAAGCCAGGGAGCAAACGGGAUUAGACGUACC
rnacentral:rRNA from 1 species